rnacentral:rRNA from 1 species
CUGCUAGACGAGUUUGAUCAUGGCUCAGGACAAACGCUGGCGGCGUGUAUUAGGCAUGCAAGUCGCACGGACCUUCGGGUCAGUGGCGGACGGGUGAGUAACACGUGGGUAACCUGCCCUGCAGUGGGGAAUAACCCGUCGAAAGACGGGCUAAUACCGCAUACUACUCUCGGUGAGAAUCCGGGAAGUAAAAGCAGUAAUGCGCUGCAGGAGGGGCCCGCGGCCGAUUAGCUAGUUGGUGAGGUAACGGCCCACCAAGGCGACGAUCGGUAGCUGGUCUGAGAGGAUGGUCAGCCACACGGGGACUGAGAUACGGCCCCGACUCCUACGGGAGGCAGCAGCUAAGAAUCUUGCGCAAUGGGCGAAAGCCUGACGCAGCAACGCCGCGUGGAGGACGAAGGCCCUCGGGUCGUAAACUCCUUUUGCGAGGGAAGAAGAUCUGACGGUACCUCGCGAAUAAGCCACGGCUAACUACGUG